UUGGCUAUGCGUUUUAAUUUUUAACUCUAUUUAUUGUGAUGUCCUAAUGUUUUUGAUUUAUUUUUUAAGUUAUUUUUGUAAAAUGUUUUAAUUUGUUUUUUUUUCUUAGGGUGUUAAAAGUUUGUUUUUUGAACUGGAUUAGUACCCAGGUAAUCAAAAUUAAUUAAUUCGGGAGUAAAGUUUUGUUUAAACCGAAAAAAUAUUGACUGACUUUAGAUUUUUCUUUGGAACAUGUGUUUUUUGGAGAGCCCUCCUUUUUAGUUAUUUUUAUCGGCACAUGUAUGAUUGUUUAGUUUUUAUUUUAUUUUGUAAUGCUUUUUUUGUUUUUUACAUUUAAAACAGAUAUAUAUUUGGCUUAUGAAUUUAUUUUUCAUGUGUUACUAUUAUGAAUUGUUUUGGAUUGAUUUUUUAUUUUUUUUUUGAAAUUGGAAAAGAAAGUAAUUUUUUUUUGAUGUUAUAGUGAAUUAAAUAAAUAAAG
rnacentral:rRNA from 1 species